rnacentral:rRNA from 1 species
AAUCUUUUAGAGAAAUCUUUUAGAUUUUAGUGGCGAACGGGUGAGUAACACGUAAGCAACCUGCCUUUAAGACGAGAAUAACAAUUGGAAACAGUUGCUAAGGCUGGAUAGGAAAUAAAAAGGCAUCUUUUUAUUUUUAAAAGACCUUCUUCGGAGGGUAUGCUUAAAGAGGGGCUUGCGUCACAUUAGUUAGUUGGUAGGGUAAUGGCCUACCAAGACGAUGAUGUGUAGCUGGACUGAGAGGUUGAACAGCCACAUUGGGACUGAGACACGGCCCAAACUCCUACGGGAGGCAGCAGUAGGGAAUUUUCGGCAAUGGAGGAAACUCUGACCGAGCAACGCCGCGUGAACGACGAAGUACUUCGGUAUGUAAAGUUCUUUUAUUGAAGAAGAAACAAUAGUGGAAAAACUAUCUUGACGUUAUUCAAUGAAUAAGCCCCGGCUAACUAUGUGCCAGCAGCCGCGGUAAUACAUAGGGGGCGAGCGUUAUCCGGAAUUAUUGGGCGUAAAGGGUGCGUAGGCGGUUUAAUAAGUCUCUAGUUUAAUUUCAACGCUUAACGUUGUCCUGCUAGAGAAACUGUUUGACUAGAGUGAGAUAGAGGUAAGCGGAAUUCCAUGUGUAGCGGUAAAAUGUGUAAAUAUAUGGAGGAACACCAGAGGCGUAGGCGGCUUACUGGGUCUUUACUGACGCUGAUGCACGAAAGCGUGGGGAGCAAACAGGAUUAGAUACCCUGGUAGUCCACGCCGUAAACUAUGAGUACUAAGUGUCGGGGUUAAACUCGGUACUGAAGUUAACACAUUAAGUACUCCGCCUGAGUAGUACGUACGCAAGUAUGAAACUUAAAGGAAUUGACGGGAUCCCGCACAAGCGGUGGAUCAUGUUGUUUAAUUCGAAGAUACACGAAAAACCUUACCAGGUCUUGACAUACUCUGCAAAACUAUAGAAAUAUAGUGGAGGUUAUCAGGGAUACAGGUGGUGCAUGGUUGUCGUCAGCUCGUGUCGUGAGAUGUUAGGUUAAGUUCUAAAACGAGCGCAACCCCUGUCGUUAAUUGCCAGCACGUUAUGGUGGGGACUUUAGCGAGACUGCCAAUGAAAAAUUGGAGGAAGGUGGGGAUUACGUCAAAUCAUCAUGCCCCUUAUGAUCUGGGCUACAAACGUGAUACAAUGGCUAUUACAAAGAGUAGCUUAAACGCGAGUUUUUGGCAAAUCUCAAAAAAAUAGUCUUAGUUCGGAUUGAAGUCUGCAACUCGACUUCAUGAAGUUGGAAUCGCUAGUAAUCGCGAAUCAGCAUGUCGCGGUGAAUACGUUCUCGGGGUUUGUACACACCGCCCGUCAAACC